AUGACACGCAAAUGGAAACAUGAUAACAUCCAGCUAUAAAUAAAUGUUUAUUAUUAAUAUAGAAUGUUGAAUGGAAAAAGUUGUGGCUAAGUAUCCCAUUGACACGACACAUAGUAUAAAAAUAAGCGCAAAUAUUCAUAUAAUACAUUAAAAGUACUGAAAAGUAGGGAUUUUUCUUCCAGACUUUUUAUCGCCGGCUGUGAGGUAAUACCAAUCAAUUAACAUUCAGGAUAAUUGUUAUCCUUUACACGGAACUGUGUGAUUGGUUUUGCUGUUUUGAAAAUGAAGGUGUAAGGAACGGUGCGUACAUCUUGCAGCAUCGUCUUCACGACUUCCAAAACAACUUCUCUCUGUCAAAGUCUGUAAAAUCAUGGCUUCUCAAAGAUUUACAGUUACAAAAGCUGACGAAGAAUCAAGAAUAGGUGAAAAAACUCAAGAUAAUGGAUCAUACGGAGCAGUUCCUAUUAACAGCGUACAAC
rnacentral:lncRNA from 1 species